rnacentral:rRNA from 1 species
AGCAUAUCAAUAAGCGGAGGAAAAGAAACCAACAGGGAUUGCCCUAGUAACGGCGAGUGAAGCGGCAACAGCUCAAAUUUGAAAUCUGGCCUUCGGGUCCGAGUUGUAAUUUGUAGAGGAUGCUUUUGGCGCGGUGCCUUCCGAGUUCCCUGGAACGGGACGCCUUAGAGGGUGAGAGCCCCGUACGGUUGGACACCAAGCCUCUGUAAAGCUCCUUCGACGAGUCGAGUAGUUUGGGAAUGCUGCUCUAAAUGGGAGGUAAAUUUCUUCUAAAGCUAAAUACCGGCCAGAGACCGAUAGCGCACAAGUAGAGUGAUCGAAAGAUGAAAAGCACUUUGAAAAGAGGGUUAAAUAGCACGUGAAAUUGUUGAAAGGGAAGCGUUUACGGCCAGACCUUUUCCUGGCGGAUCAUCUGGUGUUCUCACCAGUGCACUCCGCCAGGUUUAGGCCAGCAUCGGCUCCCGUAGGGGGAUAAAAGCAGUGGGAAAGUAGCUCCCUCGGGAGUGUUAUAGCCCGCUGCACAAUACCCUUACAGGGGCCGAGGACCGCGCUUUUGCAAGGAUGCUGGCGUAAUGGUCGUCAACGACCCGUCU